UUCGCCCUUAGAGUUUGAUCCUGGCUCAGAACGAACGCUGGCGGCAGGCUUAACACAUGCAAGUCGAACGCCCCUUUCGGGGGGAGUGGCAGACGGGUGAGUAACACGUGGGAACGUACCUCUUUGUUCGGAAUAACUCAUGGAAACGUGAGCUAAUACCGGAUACGCCCUUUUGGGGAAAGAUUUAUCGCAGAGAGAUCGGCCCGCGUCUGAUUAGCUAGUUGGUGAGGUAAUGGCUCACCAAGGCGACGAUCAGUAGCUGGUCUGAGAGGAUGAUCAGCCACACUGGGACUGAGACACGGCCCAGACUCCUACGGGAGGCAGCAGUGGGGAAUAUUGGACAAUGGGGGCAGCCCUGAUCCAGCCAUGCCGCGUGAGUGAUGAAGGCCUUAGGGUUGUAAAGCUCUUUUAUCCGGGAAGAUAAUGACUGUACCGGAAGAAUAAGCCCCGGCUAACUUCGUGCCAGCAGCCGCGGUAAUACGAAGGGGGCUAGCGUUGUUCGGAAUCACUGGGCGUAAAGGGCGCGUAGGCGGACGAUUAAGUCAGGGGUGAAAUCCCGGGGCUCAACCUCGGAAUUGCCCUUGAUACUGGUUGUCUUGAGAUUGGAAGAGGUAAGUGGAAUUGCGAGUGUAGAGGUGAAAUUCGUAGAUAUUCGCAAGAACACCGGUGGCGAAGGCGACUUACUGGUCCAUAUCUGACGCUGAGGCGCGAAAGCGUGGGGAGCAAACAGGAUUAGAUACCCUGGUAGUCCACGCCGUAAACGAUGGAUGCCAGCUGUUGGGGAGCAUGCUCUUCAGUGGCGCAGUCAACACAUUAAGCAUCCCGCCUGGGGAGUAC
rnacentral:rRNA from 1 species